rnacentral:lncRNA from 1 species
UUCUUCCCCCCCCCCCCCCCCCCCCCACACACCGUAGAGAGCACCACCACAGCUUUGGCUACCACCGUCUACAUCUCCACCGCCACCAGGCGUCGGAAUAACCACCAAAUCGGCACCAUCUACAUCUCCACUCUCUCUCUCUCUCUCUCUCAAUGAAGGUGGUGGCGUUGAGGUGUUCCGACCAAUAAACUCUAGAUCCGGGAUGCAAAUGGAAGAGUUUUAAAGGAAGAUCGGUAGGUGAAAAGAAUGGAAGAGUUUUAGGUUCUCAAGGGAGAUUUAUUGAUUUGGGAUUUUUGAAUGAAUUCUAGAAUCAAAUACUUUGACUAAAUUUCUGAAAACAGAGCAUGAAUAUGGAUUUCCAACGUAAGGGUGUUGAUGGUCAGCGUUUGCUGACUAAUAUAUACAAGGAAAAUAGCUAGGGUUUUUGCGUAACUUGAAAGCUCAACAGUUCUUCCUUUCAAUCAUGGGUUCUGUAUGCAAGAAUCAAAUAUUUUCCUUCUCAAAAGGAGGUGGUCAGCGUGUUGAUGGAAAUGGUGGGUGGCGAAUGGUGGUGGCUGGUGGUGUUUGAGGGAGAAAUGGGUGAGAAUAAAAGAGAACAUGAUUACUAAAAUGGUGGUGGCUGGUGGUGUUAGAUCUUCAGAACAUAAUGGGUGACGGUGGCUGGUGGUGGAAUAAUCGAAUAUGGGUGGUGGCGGGAAAGGUUUUGGAAGUUGCAGGGGGUAAUAUUGCUUCGUAACAUAAAGUAUAGGGGGUAAUAAGAAAGGGCAUUUUAGUAAUUUACCCCAAGUCAACAGAUCAGUCAACAAAUUUGAUGCCAGUGGGUAAACUUGCGACAUAACAGCGAACAUUGGGGGAUAAAAUAAAAGGGUAAAAUAGUCAUUUCACCCCCAAGUCAACAGAUCAGUCAACAAGUUUGAGGCCGGGGGGUAAGGUUGCGACAUAACAGCGAACGUUGGGGGUAAAAUUGCAAUUAUUUCGUUAGGGGGGGUAAGGGUGCCAAUCACCCCAAACCCCAGGGGAUAAAAUUGCAGUUUACUCUUAAAUAUAUCACCACCUUCAACUUUUUUUUUCACUUAGGGGCUAUUUGUUUACGUCUUAAUUAGACUCUUAAUGAUUCAGACCUCUUGCUAGUUCAGCACUUAAUAGUUUAGACUGUUUGUUUCGUGAGCAGAUGUCUGAAUGGUUCAGACAUUUGCCUCUGAAUGGUUAAGUAUUAUACUGAGUCUGAAUGGUUAAGACCUCUAAUCUAAAUUGGUCAGACAUUUGUCUCUGAACGGUUAAACAUUAUACUGUCUUUUAAUAGUUCAGACCUCUUAAUAGUUCAACACUUAAUAGCAGUACU